CGCACAAGCGGUGGAGCAUGUGGUUUAAUUCGAUGCAACGCGAAAAACCUUACCACUCCUUGACAUGGAAAUUAUACCUAUUCGAAGGGAUAGGGUCGGUUCGGCCGGGUUUCACACAGGUGUUGCAUGGCUGUCGUCAGCUCGUGUCGUGAGAUGUUGGGUUAAGUCCCGCAACGAGCGCAACCCUCAUCCUUAGUUACCAUCAGGUAAUGCUGGGGACUUUAAGGAGACUGCCAGUGAUAAACUGGAGGAAGGUGGGGAUGAUGUCAAGUCAUCAUGGCCCUUAUGGAGUGGGCUACACACGUGCUACAAUGGUGGCUACAAUGGGCUGCAAAGUCGCGAGGCUAAGCCAAUCCCUUAAAAGCCAUCUCAGUUCGGAUUGUACUCUGCAACUCGAGUGCAUGAAGUUGGAAUCGCUAGUAAUCGUGGAUCAGCACGCCACGGUGAAUACGUUCUCGGGUCUUGUACACACUGCCCGUCACGCCAUGGGAAUUGGUUUCACUCGAAGCUAACGACCUAACCGCAAGGAGGGAGUUAUUUAAAGUGGGAUCGGUGACUGGGGUG
rnacentral:rRNA from 1 species